UAUAAAAGAUAGUGUCUACUUAACUCCAGUUGGUUCUUUAUUGGUAUACAUACAAUCGACCCAAAAUAAACUAAAUAGUAGUACAAUUCUCUAGGUGAUUCAUCGGAUAGCUCAUCGGAUGAGUAUUCUGCCUCUCCUCCAAAACCAAAGAAGACAAGAAAAUCUGUAGAGAAGAGGAAGAAAGGAAAGUCGCCAACAGUUGACGUGUCGAAGUAUUUCGCCAAAGUCGUCCGUGGAGUCAGCGCCUAUUGGGAAGAUUUGGCACACAAGCUGGGUUUGGAGGGAAACGAGAUAGAUGUUAUACAGCGAAAUAAACACGACUGCGAUAGCAGGUGUUGGGAGGUGUUGACAAAGUGGAAGAACGACAGAGCAGAAGCAGCAACUCCCCAGGUCCUGAAGAAGGCUCUUAUUGGAAUGGGCCACAGGCUCACGGCAGAGAGAUUGGAUGAUCCGUCUGAGGAUGACUGAAGUCUGCUUGAUCGUACUAAAAUAGAUGUCGUUUUUGUACGGUUGGAAUUUUAAUACAAUGAAUUCUUGUCAAUUUUAUUCGUUUUUAGAUGUGUAGUUUUGCUGUUUUUUUACUGUAUUGAUUUGCUGACAUGACCCUUGUAUUGUGUGCCGCUUUUCAAUUGUACUGAAAGUUUUUUUAAGAUGGCGAUUAUUUCAAAAUGUAACGAAUUUGGUAAUUACCUUCGCCAAGAAGGUUAUGUUUUUUGUGUAUUUGUUAGUUUCUACAGUAGUGCAUAAAAAUUAUAUGAUUGCAAUAUCAUGGCAUGCAUCUGUGCAUGCAACGUUUGGUAUCUUCAAUUCUGGAAUGUUAUCCAUUGGGUACUCAUGAUGACCUCUAGCGAUUCAGUUGGUAAUUGCAGUGUUUUCCGUACCCUCCUACCAUGACAAUACCAAAGACCAAAUACAUCGCAUUAUUAUGAAAACGGCAAUGUACUAACGU